CCUACGGUGCGCAGCAGUCGAGAAUCAUUCACAAUGGGGGAAACCCUGAUGGUGCGACGCCGCGUGGGGGAAUGAAGGUCUUCGGAUUGUAAACCCCUGUCAUGUGGGAGCAAAUUAAAAAGAUAGUACCACAAGAGGAAGAGACGGCUAACUCUGUGCCAGCAGCCGCGGUAAUACAGAGGUCUCAAGCGUUGUUCGGAAUCACUGGGCGUAAAGCGUGCGUAGGCUGUUUCGUAAGUCGUGUGUGAAAGGCGCGGGCUCAACCCGCGGACGGGACAUGAGACUGCGAGACUAGAGUAAUGGAGGGGGAACCGGAAUUCUCGGUGUAGCAGUGAAAUGCGUAGAUAUCGAGAGGAACACUCGUGGCGAAGGCGGGUUCCUGGACAUUAACUGACGCUGAGGCACGAAGGCCAGGGGAGCGAAAGGGAUUAGAUACCCCAGUAGUC
rnacentral:rRNA from 1 species